CCUACGGGUGGCAGCAGUGGGGAAUAUUGGACAAUGGGGGCAACCCUGAUCCAGCCAUGCCGCGUGUGUGAAGAAGGCCCUCGGGUUGUAAAGCACUUUCAGUGAGGAAGAACGCCUGGUGGUUAAUACCCAUCAGGAAAGACAUCACUCACAGAAGAAGCACCGGCUAACUCCGUGCCAGCAGCCGCGGUAAUACGGAGGGUGCGAGCGUUAAUCGGAAUUACUGGGCGUAAAGCGCGCGUAGGUGGCUUGAUAAGCCGGUUGUGAAAGCCCCGGGCUCAACCUGGGAACGGCAUCCGAAACUGUCAAGCUAGAGUGCAGGAGAGGAAGGUAGAAUUCCCGGUGUAGCGGUGAAAUGCGUAGAGAUCGGGAGGAAUACCAGUGGCGAAGGCGGCCUUCUGGACUGACACUGACACUGAGGUGCGAAAGCGUGGGUAGCAAACAGGAUUAGAUACCCGUGUAGUC
rnacentral:rRNA from 1 species